CACGUAGGCGGACUCUUAAGUCAGGGGUGAAAUCCUGGAGCUCAACUCCAGAACUGCCUUUGAUACUGGGAGUCUUGAGUCCGGAAGAGGUAAGUGGAACUGCGAGUGUAGAGGUGAAAUUCGUAGAUAUUCGCAAGAACACCAGUGGCGAAGGCGGCUUACUGGUCCGGUACUGACGCUGAGGUGCGAAAGCGUGGGAGCAAACA
rnacentral:rRNA from 1 species